rnacentral:misc_RNA from 1 species
UUUCCGUAGGUGAACCUGCGGAAGGAUCAUUCAUAGUAAGUGUUUUAUGGCACUUUUUUAAAUCCAUAUCCACCUUGUGUGCAAUGUCAGGGUUGAUUUUUCUCUCGAGAGGAUCAACCCCAAACAUCAACUAUAUCUCAACUCUUUGUCUGAAAAAUAUUAUGAAUAAAACAAUUCAAAAUACAACUUUCAACAACGGAUCUCUUGGCUCUC